rnacentral:miRNA from 1 species
CAAAUCAUUAUGUGCUGCCACU